UAUCAACGUCGUAACAAUUGCUUUCGGUAAAAAAAAAUACACAAAACCAGUCACAGGCAGUCGGUGAACGUAUUUACAAGAGCACGUUCGUGUAUCUUAAAUUAAAAUGACUUAUGCUUUCAUAAUAGUGAUGUCUGUUGCGAUCACAUUAAAAUUGAUGUUCAUGAGUUUCUCAUUGUACUUCACAUUUAAACACAAUUUACACGCUGAGCCAACAAAAAAGAAAAAUGGAAAGGAUAUAAUGGAAAAAUGCAAGCAAGUCACGCGUGCUUUUAUGCCUAGCAUUCACUGCAAUCAAACAUAAAGAGAAAUACAAGAGAAAAAUCCAUAAUACAUGAAACCGUUUUAUUAAUAUAUUUUAAUUUUUU